rnacentral:rRNA from 1 species
CACGUGGGGUGCGAGCGUUGUCCGGAAUUAUUGGGCGUAAAGAGCUCGUAGGCGGUGUGUCGCGUCGGCCGUGAAAACCUGCAGCUUAACUGUGGGCUUGCGGUCGAUACGGGCAUCACUGGAGUUCGGCAGGGGAGACUGGAAUUCCUGGUGUAGCGGUGAAAUGCGCAGAUAUCAGGAGGAACACCGGUGGCGAAGGCGAGUCCCUGGACAACACCUGACACUGAUGCACGAAAGCUAGGGGAGCAAACAGG